rnacentral:rRNA from 1 species
GCUCAGGACGAACGCUGGCGGCGUGCCUAAUACAUGCAAGUCGAGCGGAUUUCACCUUCGGGUGAAGUUAGCGGCGGACGGGUGAGUAACACGUAGGCAACCUGCCUGUAAGACUGGGAUAACUAUCGGAAACGAUAGCUAAGACCGGAUAGCUGGAUGGAACGCAUGUUCCGUUCAUGAAACACGGAGCAAUCUGUGGCUUACAGAUGGGCCUGCGGCGCAUUAGCUAGUUGGUGAGGUAACGGCUCACCAAGGCGACGAUGCGUAGCCGACCUGAGAGGGUGAUCGGCCACACUGGGACUGAGACACGGCCCAGACUCCUACGGGAGGCAGCAGUAGGGAAUCUUCCGCAAUGGACGCAAGUCUGACGGAGCAACGCCGCGUGAGUGAUGAAGGUUUUCGGAUCGUAAAGCUCUGUUGCCAGGGAAGAACGCCUUAGAGAGUAACUGCUCUAAGGGUGACGGUACCUGAGAAGAAAGCCCCGGCUAACUACGUGC